CUACAGACAAGCUCACUGACACACAUGCUCACUACAGACAAGAGCUCACUAACACACAUACAAGCUCACUCACUAGCAGGCACACACACACACACACACACAAACUCACUAGCAGGCACACACACACAGAGGCUCCCUCACUAGCAGGUGCGCGCACACACAGAGGCAGACAGUCACUGACACCGAGGCAAACAUCCACACAUACAGAGACAGGCAGACAGCCACACACACAAAGGCAGACAGUCACACACACACAGGCAGACAGCCACAUACACAGGUAGACAGCCACACACACACACAGGCAGUCACACACACAGACAGUCACACACAGGCAGACAGUCACACACACACACAGUCACACGCACACAGUCACACACACAGGCAGACAGUCACACACACACACAGUCACACACACACAUAGUCACACACACACACACACAG